UGAGUGCAGCAUAGGUAGGCGGAAUUCGUGGUGUAGCGGUGAAAUGCUUAGAUAUCACGAAGAACUCCGAUUGCGAAGGCAGCUUACUGGACUGUAACUGACGCUGAUGCUCGAAAGUGUGGGUAUCAAACAGGAUUAGAUACCCUGGUAGUCCACACAGUAAACGAUGAAUACUCGCUGUUGGCGAUACACAGUCAGCGGCCAAGCGAAAGCAUUAAGUAUUCCACCUGGGGAGUACGCCGGCAACGGUGAAACUCAAAGGAAUUGACGGGGGCCCGCACAAGCGGAGGAACAUGUGGUUUAAUUCGAUGAUACGCGAGGAACCUUACCCGGGCUUAAAUUGCAGUGGAAUGUAGUGGAAACAUUACAGCCUUCGGGCCGCUGUGAAGGUGCUGCAUGGUUGUCGUCAGCUCGUGCCGUGAGGUGUCGGCUUAAGUGCCAUAACGAGCGCAACCCUUAUCUAUAGUUACUAUCAGGUCAUGCUGAGGACUCUAUGGAGACUGCCGUCGUAAGAUGUGAGGAAGGUGGGGAUGACGUCAAAUCAGCACGGCCCUUACGUCCGGGGCUACACACGUGUUACAAUGGGGGGUACAGAAGGCAGCUACCUGGCGACAGGAUGCUAAUCCCUAAAACCUCUCUCAGUUCGGAUUGGAGUCUGCAACCCGACUCCAUGAAGCUGGAUUCGCUAGUAAUCGCGCAUCAGCCACGGCGCGGUGAAUACGUUCCCGGGCCUUGUACACACCGCCCGUCAAGCCAUGAAAGCCGGGGGUACCUGAAGUACGUAACCGCAAGGAGCGUCCUAGGGUAAAACUGGUGAUUGGGGCUAAGUCGUAACAAGGUAGCCGUACCGGAAGGUGCGGCUG
rnacentral:rRNA from 1 species